UGUAAUUUAGCUGUUGCUGAACGCUUAGUGAUUUUGCUCUGCGUGUAGCAACAUAGCGUCAAAAUAAUCCAAAUUUUCUUGCAUUAUAAAGAAGCUUUGUCAUUUUCCUGGUAGGAACAAGCCAGUCCUUGCUGUAGUCAAAUUUCAAGUGGUAAUACAAUUAAGAAGUUCUGUACUUGACAUAUUGUUCAAUGUGUAUAUAGAAGAAUCCUUUUUGACAAAUGGCAUCUUGGCGACGACGCCGAUUCAUGAGUUUGCAAGAAAACUACGAAAGUGAUUCGGUUGCGGCAGGUUCUCAAUUUGUUGUAAAAGUUAUCGGUUCCACAAGUAUUGAUAAAGAGUCUGAUAACGCCUCUUCCAUUACAGACAGGAAUUUCACUAAGAUAUAUUCCGACUUAAUGCUGCUUUUCUCCAGCGAGAACGGCAGUAAGCUUAGAAUGGUGAUCGAUUUAUGUGGUGCAGUGCUGUAUAACAAAGAAGGUCAAGUUUUAAAAAGUUUCCGGAUCUCAAAUAUCCGUGAUAUCGUAUAUUCUACAACAAGAGAGGAGUUCGCUCGGUACUUCAUCAUGAUUGCUCGCGAGCAAAACGAACUGAAUGUCAAGGCUCAUAUAUUGCUUUGUGAAGAUAAGCAAAAAGCAAAACUGCUGUAUGAAACAUUUGAAAAGUUGUUUGGAUUAUCUGCUGAAGAGAAAAAACGUCGAGAGACUGGGAAAGAAAAUAUUUUAAAGACCACAAGAUCAACUCACACGGACAACGCAAACAUCAAACGUCAUUCUGUAUCAGUCGAUGGUCGAUUGCCUAACCUUCGACAGCAAGUUUCAUCGCAACAAAAUGUGCGAAAUAAUGGAACAACACCUAGAAUGUUUACUAAUUUGGUCAGUAAAAUGUCAAUAAUUGAGCCUGAUUUAGAUGACAGUUUUACCGAGCUUGCUCGUUCGCGUAGCUCAUUUAGUAAAUAGAAAAGACAAAUAUCAUCAAAUGGUAACUUAAAUUUCAAACUAAAACCUUUUCACAUAAAAAAGGUAUACAAUAUUGGAAUGGUCAUAUGGACGUAUAUUGUUGAAGAAGCUUAUUCAUGUAUUUCACUUGAAGAUACAAUAACUCAGCAUAUACUUUAAAGUAAAUUAAUUUUGCACCAGUAUCGUUCUUCAAGACAAGUCAACUAAACUAUUUUUGCACGAGUAUAUAUGGUCCUUGACAGCAAGUCUAGCAAUUUCAAUUAACUUUCCUUUGCACGAGUAUAUAGUUUUCGACAAUAAAUUCAAAACCUGUGAGCCCAA